CAAACCUGUCAUUAGGUGAAGAACAAAUAACAUGAGCUGUUUCAGAAGAUCCAGAAAAAAAAUGCAAAAUUCAGUAUCUUUUGAGUGUCAUGCCCUGCUUGAAAUGUUUAAGGAGUGUGUGGUGUAGCUAGACAUGAAGUACAGCACGUAUACCUCUGCCUGAUCCAAAGACAGCUCUUUGCUGCCCUUCUUAGUCUGCUUCUUAAAAAUAACAAGACCCCACAGAAGGUGUCACAGGUACAAGAGCAACCUAACAGGCUGCGCGCAUACACUUGCAGAAACUGAAGAGCUGGGAAACAAUUGGGUGUGAGAAGUGUUUGGGGAACAAGCAAAGCAGAUAAAGCUAAGGAAGAGCAACAGGAAGGAAGGACUUAGGAAACAACCAUGGAAAACAGGAUCAGCAUGCAGAUAGAGUUGGUAAUGAAAAGGAGGAAAGCUAGGGGAGGAAGGAGAGAAUGGUGACAUCUGCUGCUCACUUUUUCACAGGAGAGAACAGCUUAGAGUAUGUCUUUGAUCAGCUACCACUGAAUUUGAAAUAGAUGGUAAUUUGAAAGUGCUUUCUGAUGUAGAUAAAUGUUAGAAGUAUGUCCUAAUGAAAA